AUUAUCCACUCCUGGGGAAAACAUAUCACACACAGAGGAGAGUGACAGGUCUCUGGGAAUGUCCUGGGCAUUAUCCACUCCUGGGGAAACAUAUCACACACAGAGGAGAGUGACAGGUCUCUGGGAAUGUCCUGGCCAUUAUCCACUCCUGGGGAAAACAUAUCACACACAGAGGAGAGUGACAGGUCUCUGGGAAUGUCCUGGCCAUUAUCCACUCCUGGGGAAAACAUAUCACACACAGAGGAGAGUGACAGGUCUCUGGGAAUGUCCUGGGCAUUAUCCACUCCUGGGGAAAACAUAUCACACACAGAGGAGAGUGACAGGUCUCUGGGAAUGUCCUGGGCAUUAUCCACUCCUGGGGAAACAUAUCACACACAGAGGAG